CGUUCGCACAGCCCUGUGCAGGCCUUUGUGCUGCACGGUCUGCCCGGCGAGAUAACUGAGUGCAUUCCAUGGUGCAUCCUCGCCUAGAAUUGAGUGGAAGCAAGUCCAUCUCAGAAGGGACAUAACUGAAGAGGGAUGGCUUUCCAGACUCUGAUGGGCAGAGAGAGCAGCAGCCUGGCAUCUCUGAGCCCGUCCUUGGUGACCUCAGAGAGAUCACCCUAGUGGCCCAGGCUAGUGACCGGGAACAUGUACCUUCCUGCAGCCAA